rnacentral:rRNA from 1 species
CAUGCAAGUUGAGCGACGAACCAGGGCUUGCCCUGGGGCAAAGCAGCGAACGGGUGAGUAACACGUGGAUAACGUACCCCGAUAACCGGGACAACUCGAGGAAACUCGAGCUAAUACCGGAUGUGCACUUCACACAUCAGUGUGAUUUGUAAAGGAAGCUUCGGCCUCCGUAUCGGGAGCGGUCCGCGGCCCAUUAGCUAGUUGGUGAGGUAACGGCUCACCAAGGCAACGAUGGGUAGCUGGUCUGAGAGGACGAUCAGCCACACUGGGACUGAGACACGGCCCAGACUCCUACGGGAGGCAGCAGUGGGGAAUAUUGCACAAUGGGCGGAAGCCUGAUGCAGCGACGCCGCGUGAGGGAUGACGGCCUUCGGGUUGUAAACCUCUUUCGGCAGGGAAGAAGCCUUCGGGUGACGGUACCUGUGGAAGAAGCACCGGCUAACUACGUGCCAGCAGCCGCGGUAAUACGUAGGGUGCGAGCGUUGUCCGGAAUUAUUGGGCGUAAAGAGCUCGUAGGCGGUCUGUCGCGUCGGUUGUGAAAGCCCGGGGCUUAACCCCGGGUCUGCAGUCGAUACGGGCAGGCUGGAGUUCGGCAGGGGAGACUGGAAUUCCUGGUGUAGCGGUGAAAUGCGCAGAUAUCACGAGGAACACCGGUGGCGAAAGCGGGUCUCUGGGCCGAUACUGACGCUGA